GCCACUUUAGCUCAGUUGGUAGAGCAACUGAUUUGUAAUCAGUAGGUCGCUGGUUCGACUCCGGCAAGUGGCU
rnacentral:tRNA from 1 species